rnacentral:rRNA from 1 species
AUUGAACGCUGGCGGCAGGCCUAACACAUGCAAGUCGAGCGGAUGACGGGAGCUUGCUCCUUGAUUCAGCGGCGGACGGGUGAGUAAUGCCUAGGAAUCUGCCUGGUAGUGGGGGACGACGUUUCGAAAGGAACGCUAAUACCGCAUACGUCCUACGGGAGAAAGCAGGGGACCUUCGGGCCUUGCGCUAUCAGAUGAGCCUAGGUCGGAUUAGCUAGUUGGUGAGGUAAUGGCUCACCAAGGCGACGAUCCGUAACUGGUCUGAGAGGAUGAUCAGUCACACUGGAACUGAGACACGGUCCAGACUCCUACGGGAGGCAGCAGUGGGGAAUAUUGGACAAUGGGCGAAAGCCUGAUCCAGCCAUGCCGCGUGUGUGAAGAAGGUCUUCGGAUUGUAAAGCACUUUAAGUUGGGAGGAAGGGCAGUAAGUUAAUACCUUGCUGUUUUGACGUUACCGACUGAAUAAGCACCGGCUAACUCUGUGCCAGCCGCCGCCGUAAAAC